rnacentral:lncRNA from 1 species
AAAAACGAAGAUUCUGCCUCCAAGGACACGGAGAUAAAAGAACAUGACUCGGUGGGCUGUACCGUCAAGGCAAAUAUCUAAAAUGAACAGCUUGGGACUUUAAAAUGAAGAAUAAACAACCAUUUUAUAAAUAACAAAGAAGCAUCCCAGACAAGGAACGAUCAGGAGAGAAUUGCUCCAUUGAGGAAGAGAAUGAGGUGGUGCCUAGACCAGACUGCUGAGAUGAGAGGUCUGGCCUGUCUUCUCUGUCCCCGUCUCUGGAAACUGUUUUGGGACUUUGGAUGUCUACCAGUGCCAGGAUGAAGACAAAGGUUUCUGACUUGAGGACGAAGCAGAUGGCCUGCGCUUCCCACAGAAGUGGACCUUGGCAGCUGCCAAGCUUCUUCGUGAGCCUUGACGUCUGGCUCUUAUUUCCAGUCCUGGCUCUAUCCUCUACUGUUCCAGAAGCUUUGGGAUCUGGCUGGCUUCACGGUUCCCGGCACUCGGCUCAUCUCUAGGAGGAAAUGAGGCAUCCAGCAAUGACAUAAGGCAUCUGACUUAGUUUCAAGCUCAGCUCAAUGUUUGUGCAUGAUGUCUUCGUUAGGGUUACUGUUGGUGUGACAAAGCACCAUGAUCAAAAGUAAGUUGGGAAGGAAAGGGUUUAUUAAGCUAAGGAUUACACACUAUUGUUUAUUA